UGGGAACCUUCCCUAUGGUUCGGAAUAGCUCAGGGAAACUUGGGGUAAUACCGGAUAAGCCCUUCGGGGAAAGAUUUAUCGCCAUUGGAUGGGCCCGCGUCGGAUUAGCUAGUUGGUGAGGUAACGGCUCACCAAGGCAACGAUGCGUAGCCGACCUGAGAGGGUGAUCGGCCACAUUGGAACUGAGACACGGUCCAGACUCCUACGGGAGGCAG
rnacentral:rRNA from 1 species